AUGAGGAAAGGCGCUUUCGCUCUCUUUCUCCUCCUGCUCACCUUUGCUUCCCAUGACGGAUGGUGUUCCGCAGCUGCGAGGAGCGCCAUGGCUGAGGAGGAUGCAGCACAUCAUCAUCUGAGGCCUCAUCACCUUGGUUGGUUCCCUGAGCCCUGUCAUGAAGCUAAAUCUCUUACAAAAGCACUCCUGGAUACGCUGUUUUGCUUUUCAGAAACCCAAGGCAAGAGUCUCCUGGAGAUGCAGAGUCCCAGGAAGGUUGGGCGGGCGACGGGUGGUGCCGGAGCAGGCGGCGGCGGCGGCGGCAGGAACACCGGUGGCGGAGCCACGGACACGAGGCCACACAACGGCAAGAACAUUGCCACGGCGCUGCCAGCUCCAGCGACCUCCGUCCUGGCGCUGGUUUUCACCACCAGCACCAUUCUUCUCUCCGCGCUCAGCUUCUGA
rnacentral:rRNA from 1 species